rnacentral:tRNA from 2 species
GGAGGGAUGGCCGAGCGGCUGAAGGCGCGCGCCUGGAAAGCGCGUAUACGUUAACCGCGUAUCGGGGGUUCGAAUCCCCCUCCCUCCGCCA